rnacentral:rRNA from 2 species
UAGGGAAUCUUCGGCAAUGGGGGGAACCCUGACCGAGCAACGCCGCGUGAGUGAAGAAGGUUUUCGGAUCGUAAAGCUCUGUUGUUAAGGAAGAACGAGUGUGAGAAUGGAAAGUUCAUGCUGUGACGGUACUUAACCAGAAAGGGACGGCUAACUACGUGCUAGCAGCCGCGGUAAUACGUAGGUCCCGAGCGUUGUCCGGAUUUAUUGGGCGUAAAGCGAGCGCAGGCGGUUAGAAAAGUCUGAAGUGAAAGGCAGUGGCUCAACCAUUGUAGGCUUUGGAAACUGUUUAACUUGAGUGCAGAAGGGGAGAGUGGAAUUCCAUGUGUAGCGGUGAAAUGCGUAGAUAUAUGGAGGAACACCGGUGGCGAAAGCGGCUCUCUGGUCUGUAACUGACGCUGAGGCUCGAAAGCGUGGGGAGCGAACAGG